UAUAUAUAAAUAUAUAUGCAUAUAUAUAUAAAUAUAUGUAUUUUUUUCCAUUUUUAUUUUGCAGGUGCCGUGUGCCACUCUGCGGCUUUUAACCAGAAGUGCGCUGCCUUGACGCAGAGAGGAGGUCGGCUACCCAAGAAACAGAAGAAUUAACGACCCAGUUGAACGAAUCUGUUCCUGUGACGCUAUGCCAGAGCCGUGAAACCUGGAUUUUGGUUUCAGUUCUGCCCCUGGGCCUGCUGUGUAACCUCAGGUAAGUCACUUAAAUCU
rnacentral:lncRNA from 1 species